rnacentral:rRNA from 1 species
ACACGUGGGUAACCUGCCUUAUAGUGGGGGAUAGCCUUUCGAAAGGAAGAUUAAUACCGCAUAAGAUCGUAGUAUCGCAUGAUAUAGCAAUUAAAGGAGCAAUUCGCUAUAAGAUGGACCCGCGUCGCAUUAGCUAGUUGGUGAGGUAAUGGCUCACCAAGGCGACGAUGCGUAGCCGACCUGAGAGGGUGAACGGCCACAUUGGGACUGAGACACGGCCCAGACUCCUACGGGAGGCAGCAUG